rnacentral:rRNA from 1 species
UACGUAGGGGGCAAGCGUUGUCCGGAAUCAUUGGGCGUAAAGCGCGUGUAGGCGGCCAGAAAAGUCCGCUGUGAAAACUCGAGGCUCAACUUCGAGCUGUCGGUGGAAACUUUCUGGCUAGAGUCCGGAAGAGGCGAGUAGAAUUCCUGGUGUAGCGGUGGAAUGCGCAGAUAUCAGGAGGAAUACCCAUAGCGAAGGCAGCUCGCUGGGACGUUACUGACGCUGAGGCGCGAAAGCGUGGGGAGCGAACAGG